GACGAACGCUGGCGGCGUGCUUAACACGUGCAAGUCGAACGCUGAAGCUCAGCUUUUGUUGGGUGGAUGAGUGGCGAACGGGUGAGUAACACGUGAGUAACCUGCCCCCUUCUUUGGGAUAACGCCCGGAAACGGGUGCUAAUACUGGAUAUUCACUGGUCUUCGCAUGGGGGUUGGUGGAAAGGGUUUUUCUGGUGGGGGAUGGGCUCGCGGCCUAUCAGCUUGUUGGUGGGGUGAUGGCCUACCAAGGCUUUGACGGGUAGCCGGCCUGAGAGGGUGACCGGUCACAUUGGGACUGAGAUACGGCCCAGACUCCUACGGGAGGCAGCAGUGGGGAAUAUUGCACAAUGGGCGCAAGCCUGAUGCAGCGACGCCGCGUGAGGGAUGGAGGCCUUCGGGUUGUGAACCUCUUUCGCUCAUGGUCAAGCCGCAACAAUGGUUGUGGUGAGGGUAGUGGGUAAAGAAGCGCCGGCUAACUACGUG
rnacentral:rRNA from 1 species